ACAAAUGAAAUCUACAGUACCGGU
rnacentral:siRNA from 1 species